GCAUGCAGCUCGGGCGCGCGCUUUCACACACGGACAGACAGACAGAGAAAGAAGCUCAUUGAUUUAGUAAUGUGAGGGUUUCACCAUGGACACGUUUGUCACAGAGACGUUGACUGCAUGGCAGCUUGAGAACUUGAUUGAUUAAAGGGAGCUUGGUACACACCUGGCCGAAAUCACAAACCUGCUACAGGUUUCCUGGAGGAGCGCUUGAGGAACGUCAGGAAGCGCAUGAGAAUGCUGAAACGACCACGCCACCAAGAACAACAGGAGGAACAGACACCUAGUACACCA